rnacentral:rRNA from 1 species
CCUACGGGGGGCUGCAGUGGGGAAUAGUGCACAAUGGGGGAAACCCUGAUGCAGCGACGCCGCGUGAGCGAUGAAGUAGUUCGGUAUGGAAAGCUCUAUCAGCAGGGAAGAAAAUGACGGUACCUGACGAAGAAGCCCCGGCUAACUACGUGCCAGCAGCCGCGGUAAUACGUAGGGGGCAAGCGUGAUCCGGAUUUACUGGGUGUACAGGGAGCGUAGACGGCUUGGCAAGCCAGAGGUGAAAGGCUGGGGCUCAACCCCAGGACUGCAUUUGGAACUGUCAUGCUAGAGUGUCGGAGAGGCAGGCGUUCUUCCUCGUGUCGCGGUUACAUGCGUAGCUCUUAG